GAUUCCCCUAGUAACUGCGAGUGAAGAGGGAAAAGCUCAAAUUUAAAAUCUGGCAGUGUUUCGCUGUCCGAGUUGUAACCUAGAGAAGUGUUACCUGUGCUGGACCGUGUACAAGUCUCCUGGAAUGGAGCAUCACAGAGGGUGAGAAUCCCGUCUUUGACAUGGACUGCCAGUGCAUUGUGGUUGUGCUCUCAACGAGUCGAGUUGUUUGGGAAUGCAGCUCUAAAUGGGUGGUAAAUUCCAUCUAAAGCUAAAUAUUGGCGAGAGACCGAUAGCGAACAAGUACCGUGAGGCAAAGAUGAAAAGAACUUUGGAAAGAGAGUUAAACAGUAUGUGAAAUUGUUGAAAGGGAAACGUUUGAAGUCAGUCAUGUUGGCUGGGGAUCAGCCUGACAUUAUGUGGGUGUACUUCCUGGUUGACGGGCCAACAUCAGUUUUGACUGCCAGAAAAAGGCCAAGGGAAUGUGGCACCUUUGGGUGUGUUAUAGCUCUUGGUCGUAUGUGGUGGUUGGGACUGAGGAAAGCAGUGCGCCGAAAGGCAGGGUUUCGACCACAUUCGCACUGAGGAUGUUGGCAUAAUGGCUUUAAGCGACCCGUCUUGAAACACGGACCAAGGAGUCUAACAUGCAUGCGAGUGUUUGGGUGGAAACCCUUACGCGUAAUGAAAGUGAAAGUUGAGAUCCCUGUCAUGGGGAGCAUCGACGCCCGGACCAGAACUUUUGGGACGGAUCUGCGGUAGAGCACGUAUGUUGGGACCCGAAAGAUGGUGGCUAUGCUGAAUAGGGUGAAGCCAGAGGAAACUCUGGUGGAGGCCCGUAGC
rnacentral:rRNA from 1 species